ACAUACAGGGACUCCAUCACGGAUCAAACAGGUCAGGCUGCCCAUGCAACUCCAGCUGACGGUUGAAAUGCUCGAUCUGCUUGUUGGCCUCGGAGACGUACUCUUUGAUGAACUCGUCCAUGUCUGCAGGAACGGUGAUGAGGCGAGGGGGUUCACACAGGCAGUGACAGCACCGAUGGUGAAACAAGCCUGAACAACUGGGUCAGGAUGGAAGAGCACGGCCUGGAUGAUAUCCAGAACAUCUGUGUACCUGAGAGAGCACCAACAGACGGGGUUUGCCUCUUGUGCCUCUCUGGCUCUCCAGGAAACUGGAUAAAUACUGCUGGAGGUGAGAGGCUGAGAAUCUGUCGGGAUCAGGCUCAUACACCACCCACCUGUGAGGGUAAUGAUGAAGAAAUGUGCAUUAUUUCUGUUCAAAUUGCAGUUUUUCUAUGUAUUUUGAUUAUAUAUUUGUGAUACCUUCCACAUUCUUUGUUCAGGUUGACUAGGAAGCUGCUGAGUCUUUUCUUAUAGCUUCCUGGCAGUCCAGUUAUGAUGGUGAUGACAACCUUUCAAGUCAUAAAAAAAAUAUAACCUGAUGUUCUUUGCAUCAGCUUUGCCAUAAUUGCACUAAGGUGCUACUGGGGGAAGCAGCCAGAAAAAUGCUUAACCGUGUCUAAAAUUUAAAAAAAUACAGAUUUGCUGCACCUUAAGUCAGUAUACUCACCUUGUCUACCUGGCCAGCGGCUGGGUUUCUCAGCUCUGCAGAGGGGAAGAGCACCCCCAGGUGGUCGUACAGAAUGGGCUCCUGACCAAUGCUGCUGAGAGCGAAAUGCUGAAGAAACCUGGGAAAGCCCAGAAUACGGCAAUCAGUGAAGAGAAACGGGGUCACACCUAGAUAAAGAUAGCCCACAGAGACUGAUCGUUUAUCUGCUAAGUGGAGAAACAGUGUGUUCACAGCAAUGACUUUAAUUGCAAUUAAUUGCAUUUGAGCAAUUUCACAGUAGCAAUCCCUGUAAAAAAACAAAAAAAAACAAAAACCAUUUUUAUCUCUGGCACUUAAAAAUGAGACUGGCAAUGCAAAAUAGUGCCAGAGAGACGGACUAUGUUGGGUGCAAAUGAUUAAAGCGACUGGAGGUGUAAUUAUUCCAGGUGACAAAUUUGGGUCAGACCAGGGAAAACCAAAACUCUGCCUCAAAGUGCUGUGUUAUUGUGUUUUAGCAACACCGACGGGGAUUUAAGAAAUGUGAACGCUGCUCAUUUUGGCUCGAAUAAUGAAGCUACAUUAUCUUAUACGCUUUCUAUCAGCAGAAAACAGCUCCCGAGUGUAGAGGGUCAGCGCUGAUGAAAACAGUGUAUCAAGAAACACAGGCUUAAAUGCUAUUUCGGGAAUACAGACUCAUGAUUAAGCAAUACCUAGCAUCAGGUUUUAUUGCUUGUUUGCUUCAACCCUGAUGCACUCGAGCCGCCUCUGGGGUUGGCACACAGUUGAAUUAUAUCAGUGACAGAGAGAAAGAGCCUAAAUAAGCUGUUGUCCAUCACCGAAACCCUCCACAGGGUUCAGUCAGUCGACAGAGGGGCAUGUUCGGUGCCAGAUCGCUGUCGUAGCGCUGCUCAAUAGAUAGACUGAGGAGGUCUUUUGUGCCUCAGGCCAUACAGCUAUUCCACUACUUACAGAGAUAGUGGAGGGAAAACCUGCACCUGCACUUUGUCAUUAGGUGGUUGGUCGAUCUGUCAGUUACUGGCUGGUAGAUUUAUGCUCAACUUGCAUUUGGAUAUCUGUUUAUCCCCAUUUGCAUUUUUUAAUCAUCUUGCUUUUGCAGUGUCAUCUUUGUUAUUCACCUUCAAGCUAGAACUACCUAUAGCAGACCAUCUAUCAAUUUGUGUGUACUCACAUUUCCUGCUCUGGCAGCUGCGAGUAUGAAGUCUUUAAACUGCCUCUGCGUUUGGCCACUGGUGGCUCCUGACUGUCGUGUAGUUUCUGCAGUCUUUUGUGCCUGAAAAAAAAAGAUUUAAAGACCAUAAUUAUCUACUCUGGGAAAAAUAUUCAAUUAUGCUUCAUGAUAGCUAAAACUGGUAAAGCAAAAGAUGCUUCCUUACAUGUUUUUCUGGUUCCAGGUCAAGUGCUCUUCGUCCAACAGUUGCAGAUUGAGUCGAGAUUCAGAGUUUUUCCACACUGACAACUCCUACAACAAAGAAAAUAUUUUAUUUUUUUAUUUUUAAAAAAAAUGUUUGUACAAGUAACGCUUUGUCUUUAUUGACCAAAACAUAAUGAAGAUGUGGGCUAAAACAUACUUCUGUCUACAGUAACAAGCAAUGAGUUAAACAUAGACUUGUAUUUUAAAAAAUGUGGGCAUUUUGCUGAAUUUUGAGGUGAAAAAAGCAAAUACAUCCCACACAGCAAACAGACUUUAAAAAUUAAACUGUCUUUAAAUGUUAAUACACCGAUUUUUUUUUGAGGAUUAAAUCUACAGUAUUGAAAUAAAAUAGUAUUUUUUGACGUGCA